rnacentral:rRNA from 1 species
GUGGGGAAUUUUGGACAAUGGGCGCAAGCCUGAUCCAGCAAUGCCGCGUGCAGGAAGAAGGCCUUCGGGUUGUAAACUGCUUUUGUACGGAACGAAACGGUCCUGGUUAAUACCUGGGGCUAAUGACGGUACCGUAAGAAUAAGCACCGGCUAACUACGUGCCAGCAGCCGCGGUAAUACGUAGGGUGCAAGCGUUAAUCGGAAUUACUGGGCAUAAAGCGUGCGCAGGCGGUUUUGUAAGACAGGCGUGAAAUCCCCGGGCUCAACCUGGGAACUGCAUUAGUGACUGUAUAGCUAGAGGGCGGCAGAGGGGGAUGGAAUUCCGCGUGUAGCAGUGAAAUGCGUAGAUAUGCGGAGGAACACCGAUGGCGAAGGCAAUCCCCUGGGCCUGCACUGACGCUCAUGCACGAAAGCGUGGGGAGCAAACAGGAUUAGAAACCCUGGUAGUCC